UUCCGGUUGAUCCUGCCAGAGGCCACUGCUAUCGGAGUUCGAUUAAGCCAUGCGAGUCGAGAGGGGAAAGCCCUCGGCAUACUGCUCAGUAACACGUGGAUAACCUGCCCUGCGGUGGGAAAUAACCCCGGGAAACUGGGGAUAAUGUCCCAUAGACUACGGAUACUGGAAUGUUCUGUAGUUCAAAGAUUUAUCGCCACAGGAUGGGUCUGCGGCCGAUUAGGUAGUUGUUGGGGUAACGGCCCAACAAGCCUUUGAUCGGUACGGGUUGUGGGAGCAAGAGCCCGGAGAUGGAUUCUGAGACACGAAUCCAGGCCCUACGGGGCGCAGCAGGCGCGAAAACUUUACAAUGCGGGAAACCGUGAUAAGGGAACUCCGAGUGUCCGUAAAUGCGGACUGUCCGUAUGUUUAAAAAGCAUGCGAAGAAAGGGCCGGGCAAGACCGGUGCCAGCCGCCGCGGUAAUACCGGCGGCUCGAGUGGUGGCCACUAUUAUUGGGCUUAAAGCGUUCGUAGCUGGGUUGUUAAGUUUCUUGGGAAAUCUACCGGCUUAACCGAUAGGCGUCCAAGGGAUACUGGCAAUCUAGGGACCGGGAGAGGUGAGGGGUACUUCAGGGGUAGGAGUGAAAUCCUGUAAUCCUUGGGGGACCACCUGUGGCGAAGGCGCCUCACCAGAACGGCUCCGACAGUGAGGGACGAAAGCUGGGGGAGCAAACCGGAUUAGAUACCCGGGUAGUCCCAGCCGUAAACGAUGCGCGUUAGGUGUAUCGAUGACCACGAGUCAUCGAGGUGCCGAAGGGAAACCGUGAAACGCGCCGCCUGGGAAGUACGGUCGCAAGGCUGAAACUUAAAGGAAUUGGCGGG
rnacentral:rRNA from 1 species